GUGUCAGCCGCCGCGGUAAGACAGAGGUGGCGAGCGUUGUUCGGAAUCACUGGGCUUAAAGGGCGCGUAGGUGGUAGUGCAAGUCCGUGGUGGAAUCCGGGAGCUUAACUCCCGAACUGCCAUGGAAACUGCGUUACUUGAGUCAGCGAGGGGAGGGUAGAAUUCCUGGUGUAGCGGUGAAAUGCGUAGAUAUCAGGAGGAAGGCCUGUGGCGAAGGCGGCCCUCUGGUGCUGGACUGACACUGAGGCGCGAAAGCGUGGGGAGCAAACAGGAUUAGAAACCCUCGUAGUCC
rnacentral:rRNA from 1 species